GAUGAACGCUGGCGGCGUGCCUAAUACAUGCAAGUCGAGCGAACAGAUAGGGAGCUUGCUCCUUUGACGUUAGCGGCGGACGGGUGAGUAACACGUGGGUAACCUACCUAUAAGACUGGAAUAACUCCGGGAAACCGGGGCUAAUGCCGGAUAACAUUUAGAACCGCAUGGUUCUAAAGUGAAAGAUGGUUUUGCUAUCACUUAUAGAUGGACCCGCGCCGUAUUAGCUAGUUGGUAAGGUAACGGCUUACCAAGGCAACGAUACGUAGCCGACCUGAGAGGGUGAUCGGCCACACUGGAACUGAGACACGGUCCAGACUCCUACGGGAGGCAGCAGUAGGGAAUCUUCCGCAAUGGGCGAAAGCCUGACGGAGCAACGCCGCGUGAGUGAUGAAGGUCUUCGGAUCGUAAAACUCUGUUAUUAGGGAAGAACAAAUGUGUAAGUAACUGUGCACGUCUUGACGGUACCUAAUCAGAAAGCCACGGCUAACUACGUG
rnacentral:rRNA from 1 species